AAUGAUUUCAUCCAAUCAAAAAGAUGAACUUUCCACUGUGUCAGGUACAUUUAUUACAUUGGAAUUAACAAAAUCAUUAAAUCAAAUCUCUGAAACAAGAAUGAGAAUUUAAAAAGCUCAAGAAAAAUAGUCCCUCUAUCCCAAAAAGAAAAAGAAAAAAAAAUUGCAAUGCAUACUAUGAAAUAGCACAGCUGUCUACUGAAGAUACCCUCUUGAGUUUUAAUCCAUUCUAGG
rnacentral:misc_RNA from 1 species